rnacentral:rRNA from 1 species
GCUCAAAUUUGAAAUCUCACAGGGUUACCUGUGCGAAUUGUAGUUUAUAGAAACGUUUUCGGGGGUGGCUCUGGCAUAAGUCCUUUGGAAUAAGGCAUCAUAGAGGGUGAGAAUCCCGUUUAUGGUCAGAUGCCCGCUUCUAUGUGAUACGUUUUCUAAGAGUCGGUUUGUUUGGGAAUGCAGACCAAAAUGGGUGGUAAAUACCAUCUAAAGCUAAAUAUUGGCGAGAGACCGAUAGCGAACAAGUACCGUGAGGGAAAGAUGAAAAGAACUUUGAAAAGAGAGUUAAAAGUACGUGAAAUUGUCAAAAGGGAAACGCUUGAAACCAGUAUUGCUUUCAGGUAAUCAGCCGUUCCUUCUGGGGCGGUGCACUUGCCUGUUCGCGGGUCAACAUCAGUUUGGUUCGGGAUAAAAAGCCUUGAGAAGGUAGCCCCUCGGGGUGUUAUAGCUCAAGGUCAUGUCUCGGGCUGGACUGAGGUCUGCAGUGUUAUCUGGGUAGCCAGUCGCCUCUUGAAACCCUGUUGUAGACAGCAUGCUGACUACGGCUUGGUCUAGGGAGCACGGUUGGGAUUCCACACCAACACUUAGGAUGUUGACGAAAUGGUUUCAAACGACCCGUCUUGAAACACGGACCAAGGAGUCUAACAUAUAUGCGAGUGUUUGGGUGGCAAACCCUUACGCGAAAUGAAAGUGAACUUAGGUGGGAUCUUCGGUGCACCAUCGACCGGUCUGGAUUUUUUUGAUAGAUCUGAGUAAGAGCAUAUCUGUUGGGACCCGAAAGAUGGUGAACUAUGCCUGAAUAGGGUGAAGCCAGAGGAAACUCUGGUGGAGGCUCGUAGCGAUUCUGACGUGCAAAUCGAUCGUCAAAUUUGGGU